AUUUAAGUGUCUAUCCACUGGGAGGAUUUUCCUUUAUGAUGGUCCUGCAAGGUCAUACACCCUCAGUGGGGCUAUGAGUGGGAGGAUCACCUGAGCUUGGGAGGUCAAGGCUGCAAUGAGCCGUGAUCAUGCCACUGCACUCCAGCCUGAGUGACAGAGUGAGACCGUCUCAAAAAUAAACAAACAAAGAAGCUAUUAGUGUAAAGGAGUUUAAACCACAUUCUCAUACAAUUUACCCAUGCCUUCCAGAUUUGUCCAAGCCUAUGUACUAUUUCCAUUUGAUGAUAAAUUGUUGCUAUAUGUACCUAACCUUAUGACUAGGUGGGUCAAACAACCCCCAGUUCAUGAUGGGAAGCUUAGGGCAAAUGUCCAUUUGAGGUCCAUGGU
rnacentral:lncRNA from 1 species